GCAUCUAUACUCUCAAGGAUCAUUUCUAUUUUCAGUGAUGGGAGAAAUGUACUUGAAUGUGCCCAAACUCACAAACCACCAUGAUGUGUUUAAGGAUUUGAUACUUAGCAUGAUGGCAGUAAGCAACUCUGUUUCAUGCAGAUGUUGUUAGCUUUUGAUGACUGUGCUACUUCUUUAAAAAGAAGUGGUAGAAAAGAGUUCAUUCAGAGUGGC